rfam:Stegodyphus mimosarum contig27546, whole genome shotgun sequence.
GCCUUCGUGGUGUAGUGGUCAGCACGCUCGACGCGUAACCGAGAGGUCCGCGGUUCGAUUCCCGGCGAAGGCG